rnacentral:tRNA from 1 species
GCGCGAGUGGUGAAAUUGGCAGACACGCUGGUUUUAGGCACCAGUGCUUUGCGGCGUGAGGGUUCAAGUCCCUCCUCGUGCACCA